AUAAUGGUAGCAAAUGAUUGUAUUUCUGAUAAAUAUCUCAACUUAAUUAUACAAAGAAAAAAAAAAAAAAAACAAAAACAAAUCCAAAAAGUAAUAAAAAAGCAAAAACAAAAAGGAAAAUACAAAAACAAAAAUAAAACAAUAACCAUAUACACUAUACAAAAUAUUACCGUAAGUCUGUUAAAAGGGAUUGAAAAUAAAGAGGCCCAUGUCCCCAUUAUAUUUCGUAAUCACAGUUACCAACAUAAAUACAAUUAAAAAUGAGUAUCAACUAUACUGUCAACAAAGUUAUUACACUCUUAUACACUCUUAUACUUGUAAUGAAAAUACACUUCUAGAUCUAAACAUGAUUAUCCGUUUAUGGCACAGUGGCAAGAACAAGGAACCCUUAAACGUAUUUCAAGAAAAGAACAGCCUUGUGUCGUAUCAGAGGUCCAUAUCCCCAUGAUACAACAUCAAAAACACAUAAAACAGAUUCAGAUGUUAAGGACUGGUAUCCGAAUAUAUAUUUUGUACGAAUCUGAAUGCCAUCUUCCCAUUAACUGAAUGUUAUCACUUGAAAUGCCCAUCAUAGCUGCUGAACUCGCAGCCCCAAUCCUAAAACUAUGUCCUUUAUACACGGCGGUGUCACAUCCAGCCCAUUGUAACGAAAGUUGUAACUGGCGUGUAAAAUACUG
rnacentral:lncRNA from 1 species